GACGAACGCUGGCGGCGUGCCUAACACAUGCAAGUCGAACGGAAAGGCCCGGCUUUUGUGGGGAGCUCGAGUUGCGAACGGGUGAGUAACACGUGAGUAACCUGCCCUUGACUGUGGGAGAACCUCAGGAAACUUGGUCUAAUACCGCAUAGGAGCUCCUGCUGCAUGGUGGGGGUUGGAAAGUUUCGGUGGUUGGGGAUGGACUCGCGUCUUAUCACCUUGUUGGUUGGGUAGUGUCUGACCAAGGCUUUGACCGGUAGCCGACCUGAGAGGGUAACAGGACCCGACAGACCGGAGAUAGGGCACAGCCUAGAAUGGUAGGCAAGGGUGGAGAGUAGAACACAGUGGGAUGGGGGAUGGUGUGACACAGCAGCGUGGGGGAAGACAUGCAGGCGGUAGUGAAGCAAAGCCCUCUGAGACGAGGUGUUAGUGACGGUACCGGGUGAAGAAGCACCGGCUAACUACGUG
rnacentral:rRNA from 1 species